rnacentral:rRNA from 1 species
AGUGAACGCUGGCGGCGUGCCUAACACAUGCAAGUCGCGCGGGACUACGCAGAGUAUCGCGUAGUUUAGCGGCAAACGGGUGAGUAACACGUAGGAAACCUCCCUCAAAAUGGGGAAUAUCUCCGAGAAAUCGGAGUCAAUACCGCAUAAGACCACAGUUUGGCAUCAAAUAGGGGUCAAAGCAGUAAUGCGUUUUGAGAUGGUCCUGCGGCCUAUCAGCUAGUUGGUGGGGUAACUGCCUACCAAGGCUAUGACGGGUAUCCGGCCUGAAAGGGUGAACGGACACACUGGAACUGAGACACGGUCCAGACUCCUACGGGAGGCAGCAGUGGGGAAUUUUGGACAAUGGGGGAAACCCUGAUCCAGCGACGCCGCGUGGAGGAUGAAGGUCUUCGGAUUGUAAACUCCUUUUAGAGGGGAAGAAAAAAAUGACGGUACCCUCAGAAAAAGCCACGGCUAACUACGUGCCAGCAGCCGCGGUAAUACGUAGGUGGCGAGCGUUACUCGGAAUUACUAGGCGUAAAGCGUAUGUAGGCGGUUAGAUAAGUCUUUAGUGAAAUUUCUCUGCUUAACAGGGAAAGGUCUAAGGAUACUGUUUGACUUGAGUGUUGGAUGGGGAGACGGAAUUCCUGGUGUAGCGGUGAAAUGCGUAGAUAUCAGGAGGAACACCAAUGGCGAAAGCAGUCUCCUGGCCAAAUACUGACGCUAAGGUACGAAAGCUAGGGUAGCAAACAGGAUUAGAUACCCUGGUAGUCCUAGCUGUAAACGAUGUUCACUAGAUGUGGGAGGUAUCGACCCCUUCCGCGUCGACGCUAACGCAUUAAGUGAACCGCCUGAGGAGUACGGCCGCAAGGUUGAAACUCAAAGGAAUUGACGGGGGCCCGCACAAGCGGUGGACUAUGUGGUUUAAUUCGACGCAACGCGAAAAACCUUACCUGGGCUUGAACUGCUAAUGGUAAAAGCCGGAAACGGUGAUGACCCGCAAGGGAGUUAGUAGAGGUGCUGCAUGGCUGUCGUCAGCUCGUGUCGUGAGAUGUUGGGUUAAGUCCCGCAACGAGCGUAACCCUUAUCCUAUGUUACUUGUAAUUAUACAAGGUCUCUUAGGAAACUGCCAUUGAUAAAAUGGAGGAAGGUGGGGAUAACGUCAAGUCAUCAUGGCCCUUAUGUCCAGGGCUACACACGUACUACAAUGGUUGGUACAAAAGGAAACGAUAUCGUAAGAUGGAGUAAAUCCUCAAAACCAAUCUCAGUCCGGAUUGUGGGCUGCAAUUCGCCCACAUGAAGUAGGAAUCGCUAGUAAUCGCAGAUCAGCAAGCUGCGGUGAAUACGUUCCCGGGCCUUGUACACACCGCCCGUCACACCACGAAAGUCAGUUGUAACAGAAGUCAUUGAUCUAACCUUGAAAAAGGAAGUAAAUGCCUAAGUUAUGGUUGGCGAUUGGGGUG